rnacentral:lncRNA from 1 species
CCCUGCCUUGGAUAGAUGCUGCUGAAUCUGUAAGAAAUGCCGGUGCCACUACCACCCCAACACUCCAAACGUGAGACUAGGAAAUCUCAGUCCAGCAUUGUGCCCAGUGAUCAUGAACCAUCUGAAAAGAAAGAUGAGAAGUACCAAGCAAAGAUAUCUCCAUCUUCACCUCAGGGACCACUCAAAAAGAGAUCAGCUUUUGAAGAUCUCACCAAUAUGACCUUUGAGAUGAGUCAUGAGACCCUGUACUUGGCAGUGAAGCUGGUAGAUCACUACCUUAUGAAGGUAAUAUGCAAGAAGGACAAGUUACAACUCCUUGGUUCCACUGCUUUUAUGAUUGCAGCAAAAUUUGAGGAGCGCUGCCCACCUAGUGUGAAUGACUUCCUGUACAUCUGCAACGAUAUUUAUAAGAGAGACGAGAUGCUCGCCAUGGAAGCCAGCAUCCUGAAAAUCCUCAAAUUUGAUAUCAACAUUCCCAUCGCCUAUCAUUUUCUGCGCAGAUAUGCUAGGUGUGUCUAUGCCAGCAUGAAGACACUGACCUUGUCCCGCUUCAUCUGUGAGUUGACCCUGCUGGAAUAUGACUAUGUCCAAGAGAGGGCUUCCAAGCUCGCUGCUGCCUCCUUCUUCCUGGCCCUCUGCAUGAACAAGCUCGGACACUGGGCUCCUAUCCUAGAGUAUUACAGUGGCUACAGGAUCUCUGAUCUUCACGCCUUGGUCAGGCAGCUGAACAUCCUACUGACUUUUCAUUCUUGCAAUAGGCUCAAGACUGUAUGUUCCAAGUAUUCACAUGAGAUAUUCUUUGAAGUCGCCAAAAUCCCACCCUUGGACAUGUUGGCACUGGAGAAAAUUUUGAGGUGUAAUUCUGAGGCCGAGGGUCUGGUACUCUGG